GAGGUAACCGGCUCACCAAGGCGACGACGGGUAGCCGGCCUGAGAGGCGACCGGCCACACUGGGACUGAGACACGGCCCAGACUCCUACGGGAGGCAGCAGUGGGGAAUAUUGCACAAUGGGCGCAAGCCUGAUGCAGCGACGCCGCGUGAGGGAUGACGGCCUUCGGGUUGUAAACCUCUUUCAGCAGGGAAGAAGCGCAAGUGACGGUAGGAGCAGAAGAAGCACCGGCCAACUACGUGCCAGCAGCCGCGGUAAUACGUAGGGUGCAAGCGUUGUCCGGAAUUAUUGGGCGUAAAGAGCUCGUAGGCGGUUCGUCGCGUCGGCUGUGAAAUCCCGAGGCUCAACCUCGGGUCUGCAGUCGAUACGGGCAGGCUAGAGUUCGGUAGGGGAGACUGGAAUUCCUGGUGUAGCGGUGAAAUGCGCAGAUAUCAGGAGGAACACCGGUGGCGAAGGCGGGUCUCUGGGCCGAUACUGACGCUGAGGAGCGAAAGGGUGGGGAGCAAACAGGCUUAGAUACCCUGGUAGUCCACCCCGUAAACGUUGGGAAC
rnacentral:rRNA from 1 species